UGGGGAAUUUUGGACAAUGGGCGAAAGCCUGAUCCAGCAAUGCCGCGUGUGUGAAGAAGGCCUUCGGGUUGUAAAGCACUUUUGUCCGGAAAGAAAUCCUUGGCUCUAAUACAGUCGGGGGAUGACGGUACCGGAAGAAUAAGCACCGGCUAACUACGUGCCAGCAGCCGCGGUAAUACGUAGGGUGCAAGCGUUAAUCGGAAUUACUGGGCGUAAAGCGUGCGCAGGCGGUUUGCUAAGACCGAUGUGAAAUCCCCGGGCUCAACCUGGGAACUGCAUUGGUGACUGGCAGGCUAGAGUAUGGCAGAGGGGGGUAGAAUUCCACGUGUAGCAGUGAAAUGCGUAGAGAUGUGGAGGAAUACCGAUGGCGAAGGCAGCCCCUGGGCCAAUACUGACGCUCAUGCACGAAAGCGUGGGGAGCAAACAGGAUUAGAUACCCUGGUAGUCCACGCCCUAAACGAUGUCAACUAGUUGUUGGGGAUUCAUUUCCUUAGUAACGUAGCUAACGCGUGAAGUUGACCGCCUGGGGAGUACGGUCGCAAGAUUAAACUCAAAUGAAUUGACGGGGUCAUAGCUG
rnacentral:rRNA from 1 species